UACGAAGGGGGCUAGCGUUGCUCGGAAUUACUGGGCGUAAAGCGCACGUAGGCGGCUUUGUAAGUUAGAGGUGAAAGCCCAGGGCUUAACCCUGGAAUUGCCUUUAAGACUGCAUCGCUAGAAUCGUGGAGAGGUAAGUGGAAUUCCGAGUGUAGAGGUGAAAUUCGUAGAUAUUCGGAAGAACACCAGUGGCGAAGGCGACUUACUGGACACGUAUUGACGCUGAGGUGCGAAAGCGUGGGGGAGCAAACAGG
rnacentral:rRNA from 1 species